rnacentral:snoRNA from 1 species
UUCUAUGAUGAUACCUCUUUUUACUAUUUCUGGUACCUCUUGAUUGAGAAGGCUGCUCUUCGGAGCAGUUCCUUCGAUGUUCGAAACGGACUUCUGAUU